UACAGAGGGUGCAAGCGUUGUUCGGAAUUACUGGGCGUAAAGGGCGCGUAGGCGGCGUGACAAGUCACUUGUGAAAUCUCCGGGCUUAACCCGGAGCGGUCAAGUGAUACUGUCGUGCUAGAGUGCGGAAGGGGCUACUGGAAUUCUCGGUGUAGCGGUGAAAUGCGUAGAUAUCGAGAGGAACACCUGCGGCGAAGGCGGGUAGCUGGGCCGACACUGACGCUGAUGCGCGAAAGCCAGGGGAGCGAACGGG
rnacentral:rRNA from 1 species